GCAUCGGUAGUUCAGUGGUAAAAUGCUCGCCUGCCAUGCGGCUUCGAUUCCCGGCCGAUGCA
rnacentral:tRNA from 1 species